AUGACUUUCAUCACCAUCUUCAUCUGGACACUGUCUCUCUGUUUUCAUGAGUCAAGAGGACAGGUGACCGUGAUUCAGACUCCUGAAGUGAAAUCUUCCCUUGCAGGAGACACAGUCACUAUUAACUGCAAAACGAGUCCUGCAGUGCACCGCCAUAGUGAUGGAGAUGAAGAGCUGCACUGGUACCAACAGAAACCUGGACAGGCUCCUAAACUCCUUCUUUACUGGGCCAAGAAGUUACAGUCAGGAAUUCCAAAUCGUUUCAGUGGCAGUGGAUCUGGAACUGACUUCACUCUGACCAUCAGAGGAGUCCAGACUGAAGAUGCAGGAGAUUAUUACUGUCAGAGUUACCAUGAGAUCAGUGGUAAAUAUCUGUUCACACAGUGA